UUGUGGUUAAAAAGCUCGUAGUUGGAUCUCAACAGCCUCGAAGCGGUUAACAUUGUAGUUUUACUGCUUUAUAGGCUGUGCUUUUGCUGGAGGUUUAGGGGUGCUCUUGAUCGAGUGUCUCUGGAUGCCAGCAGGUUUACUUUGAAAAAAUUAGAGUGCUCAAAGCAGGCUAAAAUGCCUGAAUAUUCGUGCAUGGAAUAAUAGAAUAGGAUGUCGAUCCUAUUUUGUUGGUUUUCGGGACUCGACAUAAUGAUAAAUAGGGAC
rnacentral:rRNA from 1 species